GCACCUGGCAGCCUGUGGUCCUUGGAGAACCCAGUACACUGGCACCCUGGUCUCUGAGAGUAUCCCCAGGACACCACUUCACAGCAGGCUCACCAGAAGUGCUCCAAGUACCUUCACAGCUGUAAUCCUGAUUUCUUCAUCUUAAAGAACCAUCUUAAACAUCAUCAAUGUUUAAUAUGAGCAACACAAAUAGAUGGGCACAGAAGAGCUAAAUAUUGACACCCAGCAAAGCAAGGGGAUGAAGCUGCAGGCCUCUGUUGUCGCUCAGGGCACUUGCCCCGGCCAGCCUGAUGCAGGAUGAGAAAUGCGGAUGAGAGCAAUUGCCCCAGUGAAGAGUCAGCUGAUUUCAGAUGUGUGACUAAACACAGGUCCAUUCAACACUGUCAUAUGGCCAGCCCCAGUUGACGGCACUUGUGAAUGUUAC
ensembl:lncRNA